rnacentral:tRNA from 1 species
GCACCCAUAGCUCAGCUGGAUAGAGCGUUGCCCUCCGAAGGCAAAGGUCAGAGGUUCAAAUCCUCUUGGGUGCA